rnacentral:rRNA from 1 species
GAGUUUGAUCCUGGCUCAGAACGAACGCUGGCGGCAUGCCUAACACAUGCAAGUCGAACGGGAUCCAGGCUUCGGCCCGGUGAGAGUGGCGGACGGGUGAGUAACGCGUGGGAACCUGCCCAAUGGUCUGGGAUAACCGCGGGAAACUGCGGCUAAUACCGGAUAAGCCCGAGAGGGGAAAGAUUUAUCGCCGAUGGAGGGGCCCGCGUCCGAUUAGGUAGUUGGUGAGGUAACGGCUCACCAAGCCGACGAUCGGUAGCUGGUCUGAGAGGAUGAUCAGCCACACUGGGACUGAGAUACGGCCCAGACUCCUACGGGAGGCAGCAGUGGGGAAUAUUGGACAAUGGGGGCAACCCUGAUCCAGCAAUGCCGCGUGAGUGAUGAAGGCCUUAGGGUUGUAAAGCUCUUUUUGGCGGGGACGAUGAUGACGGUACCGCAGAAUAAGCCCCGGCUAACUUCGUGCCAGCCGCCGCAGUAAC